UACGUAGGGCGCAAGCGUUGUCCGGAAUUAUUGGGCGUAAAGCGCGUGUAGGCGGCCUUGCAAGUCGGGUGUGAAAGCCCUUAGCUCAACUGAGGAAGUGCGCCCGAAACUGCAGUGCUUGAGUACCGGAGAGGGUGGCGGAAUUCCCCAAGUAGAGGUGAAAUUCGUAGAUAUGGGGAGGAACACCGGUGGCGAAGGCGGCCACCUGGACGGAUACUGACGCUGAGACGCGAAAGCGUGGGUAGCAAACAGG
rnacentral:rRNA from 1 species